CUAAACGACUCUCGGCAACGGAUAUCUCGGCUCUCGCAUCGAUGAAGAACGUAGCGAAAUGCGAUACUUGGUGUGAAUUGCAGAAUCCCGUGAACCAUCGAGUCUUUGAACGCAAGUUGCGCCCGAAGCCUUCCGGUUAAGGGCACGCCUGCCUGGGCGUCACGCA
rnacentral:rRNA from 1 species